GAUGAACGCUAGCGGCAGGCCUAAUACAUGCAAGUCGAGGGGCAGCGCGGUAGCAAUACUGGCGGCGACCGGCGCACGGGUGCGUAACACGUAUGCAACCUACCUUCAACUGGAGGAUAGCCCGGGGAAACUCGGAUUAAUACUCCAUAAUACAGGGAUCCCGCAUGGGAAUAUUGUUAAAGCUACGGCGGUUGAAGAUGGGCAUGCGUUCGAUUAGCUAGUUGGUGUAGGUAACGGCUCACCAAGGCUACGAUCGAUAGGGGGUCUGAGAGGAUGAUCCCCCACACUGGUACUGAGAUACAGACGAGACUCCUACGGGAGGCAGCAGUAGGGAAUAUCGGUCAAUGGGCGCGAGCCUGAACCAGCCAUGCCGCGUGCAGGAAGAAGGCCCUCUGGGUUGUAAACUGCUUUUGAUAGGGAACAAAUGCCACUUGCGAGUGGAGCUGAGUGUACCUAUAGAAUAAGCACCGGCUAACUCCGUGCCAGCAGCCGCCGUAA
rnacentral:rRNA from 1 species